GAAUUCACUAGUGAUUCAGGCCUAACACAUGCAAGUCGAGCGGUAGAGAGAAGCUUGCUUCUCUUGAGAGCGGCGGACGGGUGAGUAAUGCCUAGGAAUCUGCCUGGUAGUGGGGGAUAACGUCCGGAAACGGACGCUAAUACCGCAUACGUCCUACGGGAGAAAGCAGGGGACCUUCGGGCCUUGCGCUAUCAGAUGAGCCUAGGUCGGAUUAGCUAGUUGGUGGGGUAAUGGCUCACCAAGGCGACGAUCCGUAACUGGUCUGAGAGGAUGAUCAGUCACACUGGAACUGAGACACGGUCCAGACUCCUACGGGAGGCAGCAGUGGGGAAUAUUGGACAAUGGGCGAAAGCCUGAUCCAGCAAGGCCGCGUGUGUGAAGAAGGUCUUCGGAUGUAAAUCAAGGAAGUUGGGAGGAAGGGCAGUAAAUUAAUACUUGCUGUUUGAC
rnacentral:rRNA from 1 species